rnacentral:rRNA from 1 species
GACCUCAAAUCGGGUGGGACUACCCGCUGAACUUAAGCAUAUCAAUAAGCGGAGGAAAAGAAACUAACAAGGAUUCCCCUAGUAACGGCGAGUGAAGAGGGAAAAGCUCAAAUUUUGAAUCUGGUGUCUUUGACUCCCGAGUUGUAAUCUAGAGAAGUGUUUUCCGUGUCGGACCGUGCACAAGUUCCCUGGAACGGGGCGUCAUAGAGGGUGAGAAUCCCGUAUAUGGCACGGACCGCCGAUGCUCUGUGAUACACUCUCAACGAGUCGAGUUGUUUGGGAAUGCAGCUCAAAAUGGGUGGUAAAUUCCAUCUAAAGCUAAAUAUUGGCGAGAGACCGAUAGCGAACAAGUACCGUGAGGGAAAGAUGAAAAGCACUUUGGAAAGAGAGUGAAACAGUACGUGAAAUUGUUGAAAGGGAAGCGU